GCUGCAGCUGCGCGCAAGAGCAGGAAGGACCCUUUGAGUUUAUUGGCGGUAUCCAAGGAGAUAGAAAAGUUGAAAAUAGUGAGGAAUCACAUCUGUGUUACAAAAGGACAAUGGAUUACAGGAUUUACAGUUGAAAUAUUUGCUCUAACACAUGGAUUAUGACCGUGACACAACAAAGAAGUUCUGCGGGACCCAAACUUGGGGCUGCUUCAGCCGACCUUUUGCAAUAAAGAGAAAGCAAAUUUUGUAGAGAAUUUUGCUGCUCGUGUUUUCAUCAGAACUCCAUCUAAUGAACACAUCUCUAUGAUCCUCAAACAACUCCCCUGGCUCCCUGUAAAACCUGCAGUUUGUGGUAUCUUGGGAUAUUGCCUUGAUGAUCUACAGCUGAAGACCAAAAUGAUGUGAGGCCUCUUAAAGCAAUAAGUCCCCAAAGACCUUCUAAUUGUCAACGAGAUGAGAAGAAAAUCCCUCUUGCCUUCACUGGGGAUUGCUGUCGGAAGAGCAGAUAAUUUUGCCUGGUGAAUGCGAUCUACAGCGCAGCCUGUUAUUUAGUCAUUAGGAGAUUUUUUUUAUGCAUAAAUAAGAUUGCUAGAAAUAUAUUUCUGUUCAUAACAGAGAAAAGGUUGUACUAGCAAUCCCAGACCAUUGUGGUAAAUUAAAACCUAGCCAUUGCAGUGAGCGGGCUGCCAAAGAGCAAAGUGCCUUUUCCCCUUGUGGAUCUCCAUUACAUCAUUUUCUAAUCUUUGUUCCAUCAGACAUGAAACUUUCUUAAUGGACUGAGCUGUGCAGUGAGAGCCAAACUGUAGGUAACAUACACUCUUUGAGUCUGAUCUAAUUCAUCAAAGAUGAAUAUUGAUGGGGGGCAGCAAAUGGAGCACAGCAAACUAAAUUAUAUGGCAUUAAUGGCCUUUUAAUUUAAGUCUUGGUUUAUAAGAGGUCAAAGACAAAAGAACUGAAUAGGCUUAAGAAAUAAACUAGGUUAACCUGCUGUAAGGCAAGUUUGACAUCUGCUCCGAUGUUAUCAAGUGGGUUGUUGCAGAUAAUAAGAACUUACACUCUGAACAAAAGAUACACAAAGCUGGAGCACCUCCCUAUCUUCCUGAACAGAUUGUGUGCCAGUGCUGAAGUACCUGCAGCAGCUGACACUGAUUUGACUCAAAUGGAGCUCUUUGAGUAAUUUCUCUUCUUUCUCUUUUACUUUCCUGCCGGAGCUCUCUGACUGCAGUAAAAAGGAGAACAGGAAAGAGGGGAAAUUAAUACAAAUCUUGUACAAGAAAAAAAUCGCACAUUGUUUCUGCAAUAAAUUUGAGCAGUGUUGCGUGAGUAAUUUCUCUUUGAUACUGCAAAGUCCUUAACCAUUAAAGCUGAAGGCUGAUCAGGUCACAGCACUUCAAAUAACGUCUGAUAUUCUGUACUGCAGCUCUUGAAAGGAAACGGCAUAAACUCAAUUUAACGGCAUAAUAGGAUAACUAGUAUUUAACGUGCAUAUGAAAGACAGAGAGACUGACCUUUUCAGCGUCUGACAUGCAAAGUUACAGUGUUAAUACAAUAUUGAGUUGUUUAUAUCCCUUUAAAGAAUGCACUUAGUUUGUAGCAAUUAUAUAAAUAAUAUACUGUAUUUAUUUUAUUCCUCUGAAUAUCAUUUCAAUGGUUUGUGCUUUUUGCCUAUGAUCCCAGUGGGGUCACCACCCUAUUUCUGAGACCUCCAUGUCAGACAAUGUCACGCCAUCCUGACAAGGAAUGAGACGACUGGGAAAAAGCCUGUCUGAUGGCAGUCAUGCAGAAGUAAGGUGUGUGUCUAUGUGUGCAUGUCAGACAGAGAGCAUAAGAGAGUAGGGAAGCAGAGACACAAACUUUGAAACAGAAUGAGUGAUGAACAGGUUGCCCUCCUGCCUGCCUACUUCCCUCCUCAGGAACACAGAUGUACUGCAUUUGUCUGCACUAAUGUGUUAAUAAAAUAAUAAUGUAGUUAAACUGCAGUCAUCAAAGACAAUUAGAAAUCACAUUAAAGCAGUGUAAUGAAGGCAAAUUUGCAUCUUUUCAACAGGUUAUCAUAUUAGAAGAAUGCUAAUGUAAAUUAUUUGUAGGAACCUGAAUAUAAAAUGUUCUUCAUAAUUGUAAAGGGGCUUGCAUUGUCAUUUUGCAUAUGUCAUUUUUUCAGUUGUGUUCAAAUAGUGUAAUCUAUAUUCAGAAAACUUAAGCAUGCAUCAAAAAUCAUGAGUGAUUACAUUCAAAAACAUA